AGGGUUCGAUUCUGGCUCAGGAUGAACGCUGGCGGCGUGCUUAACACAUGCAAGUCGAACGGGAUCCAUCAAGCUUGCUUGGUGGUGAGAGUGGCGAACGGGUGAGUAAUGCGUGACCGACCUGCCCCAUGCUCCGGAAUAGCUCCUGGAAACGGGUGGUAAUGCCGGAUGUUCCACAUGAUCGCAUGUGAUUGUGGGAAAGAUUCUAUCGGCGUGGGAUGGGGUCGCGUCCUAUCAGCUUGUUGGUGAGGUAACGGCUCACCAAGGCUUCGACGGGUAGCCGGCCUGAGAGGGCGACCGGCCACAUUGGGACUGAGAUACGGCCCAGACUCCUACGGGAGGCAGCAGUGGGGAAUAUUGCACAAUGGGCGCAAGCCUGAUGCAGCGACGCCGCGUGAGGGAUGGAGGCCUUCGGGUUGUAAACCUCUUUUGUUUGGGAGCAAGCCUUCGGGUGAGUGUACCUUUCGAAUAAGCGCCGGCUAACUACGUGCCAGCAGCCGCGGUAAUACGUAGGGCGCAAGCGUUAUCCGGAUUUAUUGGGCGUAAAGGGCUCGUAGGCGGCUCGUCGCGUCCGGUGUGAAAGUCCAUCGCUUAACGGUGGAUCUGCGCCGGGUACGGGCGGGCUGGAGUGCGGUAGGGGAGACUGGAAUUCCCGGUGUAACGGUGGAAUGUGUAGAUAUCGGGAAGAACACCAAUGGCGAAGGCAGGUCUCUGGGCCGUCACUGACGCUGAGGAGCGAAAGCGUGGGGAGCGAACAGGAUUAGAUACCCUGGUAGUCCACGCCGUAAACGGUGGAUGCUGGAUGUGGGGACCAUUCCACGGUCUCCGUGUCGGAGCCAACGCGUUAAGCAUCCCGCCUGGGGAGUACGGCCGCAAGGCUAAAACUCAAAGAAAUUGACGGGGGCCCGCACAAGCGGCGGAGCAUGCGGAUUAAUUCGAU
rnacentral:rRNA from 1 species